rnacentral:misc_RNA from 1 species
AACGCACAUUGCGCCUGCUGGUAUUCCGGUAGGCAUGUCUGUUUGAGCGUCAGCAAAACUCCUCAGCAAAUUUAUUUUGUUGGUUAUGGGUAUAGAGUAGGCUUACCGCCGCUUUUGCCUUAAACUUGCUGCACGACCGCAAGCUUAUGCUAGGUUAAUUGAGUGGUGUUUACAAUAUUCCAGCUGCCUUUUAGUAUAGCUAGUGGCGUUAAACCCGACGUUGUUUAGCCGCAACUGAAGUUUGACCUCAAAUCAGACAAGGAUACCCGCUGAACUUAA